rnacentral:rRNA from 1 species
CGGAGGGUCCAAGUCGUUAUCCGGAAUCAUUGGGUUUAAAGGGUCCGUAGGCGGUUUAAUAAGUCAGUGGUGAAAGCCUAUCGCUUAACGAUAGAACGGCCAUUGAUACUGUUAGACUUGAAUUAGUGGAAGUAACUAGAAUAUGUAGUGUAGCGGUGAAAUGCUUAGAUAUUACAUGGAAUACCAAUUGCGAAGGCAGGUUACUAUCACUAUAUUGACGCUGAUGGACGAAAGCGUGGGGAGCGAACAGGAUUAGAUACCCUGGUAGUCCACGCCGUAAACGAUGGAUACUAGCUGUUCGGAGCAAUCUGAGUGGCUAAGCGAAAGUGAUAAGUAUCCCACCUGGGGAGUACGUUCGCAAGAAUG